GCAACUCGCCUGCACGAAGUCGGAAUUGCUAGUAAUCGUAGGUCAGCAUACUACGGUGAAUACGUUCCCGGGCCUUGUACACACCGCCCGUCAAACCAUGAGAGUUGGCAACACCCGAAGUCGGUAGUCUAACCGCAAGGAGGACGCCGCCGAAGGUGGGGUUGAUGAUUAGGGUUAAGUCGUAACAAGGUAAC
rnacentral:rRNA from 1 species